UAAUAAUUUAUUAUUUAAUAAUUUAAGUAAUUAAAAUAAUAAUAAAAUAAAAAAUAUUUUAGUAAUUAUAAAGAAAAAAUUUUUAAAAUUAUAAAAAAUGUAUUGUAAAAGAAUAUUUUACUUAAAUUAAAAGAUGAAUUAAUUUUUUGUACCUUUUGUAUCAGGGUUAAUUAAAAUAUUUAAUAUAUAAUUGAUAUUUCGAAAUUAAUUGAGCUAAUAUUUAAUAAUAGUUAAUGUUGAAAAAUUAUUAUAAAUUAAAUAUUUGAAAUUAAAUGUUAUUCGUAAUUAAUAAUAUCUAAUUUUUUAAUAAAUGAAUUUAAUUCAGUAAUUUAUUUUAAUAAAAAUUAAUUAAAUUAAAAUUAAUUUUAAAUAAAUUAUAAAAUUUUAAGGGAUAAACUUUAAAAUUAAAAUUAAAAAUACAAAUUUUAAUUAAAUAUUAAUAAUAUAAUUUAAAAUUUUAAUUUAUAGAAAAUUUAUAAUAAUUUAUAAAAAUUAUGAAAGUUUAAUAAUUAAAAUAUUAAUUUUAAUUAAUUAUUAAAAUUUAAUUUAUAAUAUAAAAAAAUUAGAAAUAAUGAUUAAAUUAGUAAAUUAUUAAUAAAUAUAAUAAUAUAGAUUUAAUAAAAAAUUAAAUUAAUGAAUUAGGCAAAAUUUUAUAUUUACCUGUUUAUUAAAAACAUGGUUUUAAGAAAAUAAAUUUAAAAUCUUGUCUGCUCAAUGAUAAUUUAUUAAAUAGCUGCAAUAUUUUAAUUGUACAAAGGUAGCAUAAUCAUUUGUCUUUUAAAUGAAGGAUAGAAUGAAAGAUUAAAUAAAAUAUAAACUAUAUUAAAUUAAAUUUAAAAUUAAAUUUUAUUUUUAAGUAAAAAAUCUUAAAUAAAUUUAUUAGACGAUAAGACCCUAUAGAACUUUAUAACUUUUUAAAUAUAUUAAUUAAAAAAAAUAUAAUUUAUUUAAAAAAGUUAUUAUAUUGGGGGUAUAAAAAAAUUUAAAAAUUUUUUUAUUUAUUAUAACAAAUAUAAUUGUUUUUUAAAAUUAUAAAGAGUGUUUAAUAAAAAUUAAUAGAUUAAGUUACCUUAGGGAUAACAGCAUAAUUUUUUUAGAAAGAUCUUAUUGAAAAAAAAGAUUGUGACCUCGAUGUUGAAUUAAGAUAAAUAUUAAAAGGAGAAUUUUAUUAAUUAAGUUUGUUCAACUUUUAAAAUCUUACAUGAUUUGAGUUAAAAUCGGUGUAAGCCAGAUUGGUUUUUAUCUAUAAUAAUCAAUUAUAAAUAAUUGUACGAAAGGACUUUAUUUAUUAAAUUUUUAAAAAUUAAAAAUUAAAUGAAUUAAAUUAAAUUAAGUUAAUCUUAAAAAAUAAAAAAAAAAU
rnacentral:rRNA from 1 species